rnacentral:rRNA from 1 species
UACGGAGGGUGCAAGCGUUACCCGGAAUCACUGGGCGUAAAGGGCGUGUAGGCGGACUGUUAAGUCUGGCUUUAAAGACCGAGGCUCAACCUCGGGAAUGGGCUGGAUACUGGGAGUCUAGACCUCUGGAGAGGUACUCGGAAUUUCUGGUGUAGCGGUGAAAUGCGCAGAUAUCAGGAGGAACACCGGUGGCGAAGGCGGGUCUCUGGGCCAAUACUGACGCUGAGGAGCGAAAGCGUGGGGAGCGAACAGG